UACGUAGGUGGCAAGCGUUGUCCGGAAUUACUGGGCGUAAAGCGCACGUAGGCGGUCUUUUAAGUCGGGGGUGAAAUCCUGGAGCUCAACUCCAGAACUGCCUUCGAUACUGGAAGACUUGAGUCCGGGAGAGGUGAGUGGAACUGCGAGUGUAGAGGUGAAAUUCGUAGAUAUUCGCAAGAACACCAGUGGCGAAGGCGGCCAACUGGUCCGGUACUGACGCUGAGGUGCGAAAGCGUGGGGAGCAAACAGG
rnacentral:rRNA from 1 species